rnacentral:rRNA from 1 species
AGUCAGUAGAAUUUUUAUUAAAAAAGAUUAUUGAUAUCUUCUGCCCGGUGUAAUUUAUUAACGGCCGCAGUACCUUGACUGUGCUAAGGUAGCAUAAUCAAUUGGCUAUUAAUUGUAGUCUGGAAUGAAAGAAGUAAUGAAUAGUAGCUAUAAUAAUUAGUGUUUUUUUAAUUUGUUUAUCUGGUGAAAAUACCAGUAAUUUUAGAAAAAAGACGAGAAGACCCUUAGAAUUUUUAAAGAAAAGUGUAUAACAUUUUCAAAAUAGAAAAAAUAGAUUUACAUCCUAAUUUUUUGUUGGGGCGACAAGAAAACAAAAACUUAAAAUAGAAACUUUUCUAAUUUUUAUUAAAAAAAUUAUGAGAAUUAUGCGACGAAAUUUUUAUGAAUAACUAAAUUACCUUAGGGAUACCAGCAUAAUGAUAAUUUUAUUUAGUUUGUGACCUCGAUGUUGGACUAGGAACUUUACCACUAACAGUGUAAAAAGAAUGUUCUGUUCGAACAAUAAUUUCC